CCCCCCUUUUCCCUCUUAAUAGCCGUGUUUCGAGUUCCUCCGGAACACCCGGGAUUUUUCGUAUUUAGCCACGCCGGUCACGUGAUAUGAGCAAAAUGUUCCACAGGGGUACUUCCUGUUAAUUUUGUUUACACUGGUAACAAAAUUGUUUUUGACAAAAUAUAGAUUUUGUGGCACAAACUGUCGCAAAUCAGAUAAAGGAUAGCAAGGGAUAUAUAUUUACUUGGGAAGAUGUCAAAGUUUACCUUUUCCCAAACCCGGGAAAAGCGUUCACGCAGAGGAAACGAUGGCGUCAUUUGUGUAGAAAACCACGAACAGCCGAAAUUGAGUGCGAUUAUUACAUUCCGUGAAAGCUGAACCAACAAAGAAACAUCAUUGUUCUAGCCAGUUUCCUUAUAUUAACUUUUAGGAAAACCAAGAGGUUGAUAACAAUGGCUGAUCUGCAUAUAAUGACUGCUAGUUAUUGGCUGGUAUGCAGUGAAAGGGAGCUAAAAAGGAGUAAAAAGUUCAUAUCAGCCAGGUGAGAAUUAAUUUCUUUUUUGUGUGUUAUACAUAUGUAAUUCUUUUCUUUUGCUGCUUCAAAUCUUGUGUAUUUGAAAAUUUUCAGUCUAAUAUUUUGGCAAUGUUAUAGGUAGUGUGGCUUAAAUAAACCAGUGUUAAGGAAAUCCAGUAAUGGCAUGACAUCAUGAGAGUUUGGCAUACCGACAUUCAGAUGAUUAAUGAUGAAACUUAAGACCUCAAGUGAAAGGCAUGGAAAAUGAUCCUGUUCCCAUAUACCUGAAAAAGAGGAGGGAUGCCACAAUAUUGAUAAUAGACUUUUGUCAAUUUGAGAAGCAAA